CUGGGCAGCUAGAGCACUCAGUCAACAGGUCCAAGUGGGCUGCUUCUGUCUCUAGCAAGGGGGCCCAGUUGGAGCUUGAGGAGAGUCUGGUCUCCAAGAAGAUGACCGUCAGCCCCCUGGAGAGCUGGCUUACAUCUUUGAUAUCUCUUGUCCAGACUGGAUACUGGAACUGCAGAGGUUGUGACUCCAGCCCAUUUCUACAAGUAUUCCCUUAGCUAGGUAAGGGAGGGAGAGGCCUAGCAGGAAGCCCGAGGGAGUCUAGGAUGCACCCUGUAAGCAUGUAAUGUGAAAAUGUGCGAAAAUCUGUGGUGGGACAAUAAGCCACCACAAAUACCACAAACUGGUCAAGAGAGCUAGUUCCUGGGGCAGUAGGGCCAGGAAGAAUGCCUUAGAUUGUAGCAGAUUAGGUUCCAGAGAAACCUGAGGUACAUGUGGCUGAAGGCAGAUCAAAGAGAGGUCUCAGGGGCAGGCAGACACCCAAGAUCUACUUGAAGAGUAAG
rnacentral:lncRNA from 1 species